CAUGGGCCGACUCGCAGCUCCCGGCCGCCUGGCGGUCUGCCGAAUUCGAUUAGUUUGAUCCUGGCUCAAGAUGAACGCUGGCGGCGUGCUUAACACAUGCAAGUCGAACGGGGGUGCCAUUUUCGAGGUGAUUAGUUUACUAAGAGCCAAGAUGUUGGUAUCUUAGUGGCGGACGGGUGAGUAACGCGUGGGUAACCUGCCUUAUACAGGGGGAUAACACUUAGAAAUAGGUGCUAAUACCGCAUAAGCGCACGGGGCUGCAUGGCCCAGUGUGAAAAACUCCGGUGGUAUAAGAUGGACCCGCGUCUGAUUAGCUUGUUGGCGGGGUAACGGCCCACCAAGGCGACGAUCAGUAGCCGGCCUGAGAGGGUGGACGGCCACAUUGGGACUGAGACACGGCCCAAACUCCUACGGGAGGCAGCAGUGGGGAAUAUUGGACAAUGGGGGGAACCCUGAUCCAGCGACGCCGCGUGAGUGAAGAAGUAUUUCGGUAUGUAAAGCUCUAUCAGCAGGGAAGAAAGAAAUGACGGUACCUGACUAAGAAGCCCCGGCUAACUACGUGCCAGCAGCCGCGGUAAUACGUAAGGGGCAAGCGUUAUCCGGAUUUACUGGGUGUAAAGGGAGCGUAGACGGUUGUGCAAGUCUGAAGU
rnacentral:rRNA from 1 species